UACGGGGGGGGCAAGCGUUGUUCGGAUUCAUUGGGCGUAAAGGGUGUGUAGGUGGCGCCGUAAGUCGGGUGUGAAAUUUCGGAGCUUAACUCCGAAACUGCAUUCGAUACUGCGGUGCUUGAGGACUGGAGAGGAGACUGGAAUUCAUGGUGUAGCAGUGAAAUGCGUAGAGAUCAUGAGGAAGACCAGUGGCGAAGGCGGGUCUCUGGACAGUUCCUGACGCUGAGGCACGAAGGUCAGGGGAGCAAACGGG
rnacentral:rRNA from 1 species